UACAGAGGUCCCAAGCGUUGUUCGGAUUCACUGGGCGUAAAGGGUGCGUAGGCGGUCGGGUAAGUCUGAUGUGAAAUCUCACAGCUUAACUGUGAAACUGCAUUGGAUACUAUCCGGCUAGAGGAAUGGAGGGGAGACUGGAAUACUUGGUGUAGCAGUGAAAUGCGUAGAUAUCAAGUGGAACACCAGUGGCGAAGGCGAGCCUCUGGACAUUUCCUGACGCUGAGGCACGAAAGCCAGGGGAGCAAACGGG
rnacentral:rRNA from 1 species